rnacentral:rRNA from 1 species
UACGUAGGGUGCGAGCGUUGUCCGGAAUUAUUGGGCGUAAAGAGCUCGUAGGCGGUGUGUUACGUCGGCCGUGAAAACCUGCAGCUUAACUGUGGGCGUGCGGUCGAUACGGGCAUCACUGGAGUUCGGCAGGGGAGACUGGAAUUCCUGGUGUAGCGGUGAAAUGCGCAGAUAUCAGGAGGAACACCGGUGGCGAAGGCGGGUCUCUGGGCCGAAACUGACGCUGAGGAGCGAAAGCGUGGGGAGCAAACAGG